GGAUGUUGGAUAACAUUAUUAUUCACGGGUCCGUGGAAUUUUACCCUUUUGUUUGGGAUGUGAGAUUAAGCCGUGGCGCCGAAUUGACUGACACGGAGUAGAAGGAGAUGCCGAUUUAGAUAGUCGGUGCAAAUUAGUUUGGUACAUAUGUUUAACUUGAUGUCACAACUUGGAAAAUCUUAUCAAACGAGACCAAGAUUUUAAGUAAAUCCCAGUUCACCCAAAACGGUCCCCACAGCCUUCAAAAGGGUGUACGAUGGAGUUCGCGGAAAUCCACCUCCACUUUUCCGUCCAAGUGGAAAAUCUGGACUCGACAUCGCGGUCCGCACUGAUGACCGCGGUUUGAUGGGCGCUGAAAAGGCGAGUUGGUCCAGAGGGGGUACAAAUUACAGCAGGUUUUUUUUUGUUGUCUUGUCCAGGUGUGGACAGGUGCGCUCA